rnacentral:rRNA from 1 species
UUGAACUGAAGAGUUUGAUCCUGGCUCAGAUUGAACGCUGGCGGCAUGCCUUACACAUGCAAGUCGAACGGCAGCGCGGGGGCAACCCUGGCGGCGAGUGGCGAACGGGUGAGUAAUACAUCGGAACGUGUCCAUUAGUGGGGGAUAGCCCGGCG